UACGGGGGGGGUAAGCGUUGUUCGGAAUUACUGGGCGUAAAGGGCUCGUAGGCGGCCAACUAAGUCAUACGUGAAAUCCCUCAGCUUAACUGGGGAACUGCGUGUGAUACUGGAUGGCUUGGAUUUGGGAGAGGGAUGCGGAAUUCCAGGUGUAGCGGUGAAAUGCGUAGACAUCUGGAGGAACACCGGUGGCGAAGGCGGCAUCCUGGACCAAUAUUGACGCUGAGGAGCGAAAGCCAGGGGAGCAAACGGG
rnacentral:rRNA from 1 species